UCUUUACAAUCCAAUUUAUUUAAUAUACAAUCUAGGAAAAGACUUCACCCAAAAUAUACAAUCUGCUUCUACCUAACAAAAUAAUCAAUUUAUGCCAAAGGUUCCUUCAAUUUUAAAUGCAGGGAUUUUAAACAAAAAUACCAUAGGUAUGACCGGGAAAUUAUUAGGUGAUUCGGGAUUACAAGGUCAACCUGCUGACCUUGUAGUCCCAGCCAAUAGAAAAGAAAAACAUCAUUAAAAGCAGCUGAUAUCAGCUUACCGGCCAUGUUACUGAAAAACAAUACACACUUUAACUUCCAUUAAUCCAGAAACGUUAAUCCUCUGUUGAAAUUCAAAUUUUGAUUUGAAAAUUGGGCGGGUUCGGUGAAGGUAAAAACUGAAAAAACAAAAAGCUUUUCAUUUUCAAUCUUCAUUUUUGGAGCUCUCUCUUUGUUCAUCAUCACCACCACCGUUUGGCUGCCACUUCCUUCCAUCUCAACGUUGGCAACAUUUCUGCAAUUGUAAGGUUUAGUAUCAGUCGGAUCAAUAUUUAGAAAAAAACAGAGAAUAUGUUGUUACUGAACAACAAAAUUUGUUGAAUUCUUUCAAUGGUCCGUUUGUAGCAGGCCUUUAACCUUCUCUAUUCACCCUGUGUUCCAUGUCUCUUGUUUGAAAGCUAAAUUGGGACACAAGACAGUGCCUCUUUCACUUUUGCCUUCUGUCAAUUCUCAAGGCAUCCUUGCCUCUGAACCUGUGGUUGUUCUGCAGACUAGCUCAUGCCAGCUACGCAAUAGAACCAUUACUCAGCUUUUGAUUUAGUGGCAAGGGAGCUCCUCUGAUGAUGCUACUUGGGAGGCAAAAUGUUUUAGUGGAGGGGGUAAUGUUAGGAGUCUAGCUUAAUGGUGUAUUGCAUUGUAUGUAAGUAUUACUGAAUUGCUGGUAUGUGUUGGUAUGUUAGUUACUGGUAUGUUAGUUAAGGUGUUCAGUUAGUUUUUGCGGGAAAAGGAUUAAGGAACUCUCGUAUAUAAACUAAUAAGCAACAUAAUGAGAAGCAUCCAGAAAAUUAACCAAAUUGUUCUUA